rnacentral:rRNA from 1 species
CACGUAGGGCGCGAGCGUUGUCCGGAAUUAUUGGGCGUAAAGAGCUCGUAGGCGGCCUGUUGCGUCCGCUGUGAAAGCCCGGGGCUCAACUCCGGAUCUGCGGUGGGUACGGGCAGACUAGAGUGAUGUAGGGGAGACUGGAAUUCCUGGUGUAGCGGUGAAAUGCGCAGAUAUCAGGAGGAACACCGAUGGCGAAGGCAGGUCUCUGGGCAUUAACUGACGCUGAGGAGCGAAAGCAUGGGGAGCGAACAGG